GACGAACGCUGGCGGCGUGCCUAAUACAUGCAAGUAGAACGCACAGUUUAUACCGUAUCUUGCUACACCAUAAACUGUGAGUUGCGAACGGGUGAGUAACUCGUAGGUAACCUGCCUGGUAUCGGGGGAUAACUAUUGGAAACGAUAGCUAAUACCUCAUAAUAUUGAUUAUUGCAUGAUAAUUGAUUGUAAGAUGCUAUUUCAUCACUACCAGAUGGACCUGCGUUGUAUUAGCUAGUAGGUGAGGUAACGGCUCACCUAGCCGACGAUAAAUAGCCGACCUUAGAGGGUGAUCGGCAACAAUGGGACUGAGACACGGCCCAGACUCAUACGGGAGGCAGCAGUAGGGAAUCUUCGGCAAUGGACGAAAGUCUGACAGAGCAAAGCAGCGUGAGUGAAGAAGGGUAUCGGAUCGUAAAGAUCUGUUGUAAGAGCAGAACGGGAGUGAGAGUGGAAAGUUCACACUGUGACGGUAUCUUACCAGAAAGGGACGGCUAACUACGUG
rnacentral:rRNA from 1 species